CUGGUUUAUACACUUUCAUGACUAAAGAAAGCUAUCAGUAGCGAAAUUAAAGUUUCAACUUUACGUUGUUCUACAUAUAAAACAGAUACAAGGACAGGUACAUAGAAAACCAUAAUAUUCAGUGAAUGUUAUAACUUAAGACAAGUUAUUAGAGAAAAUAGCAGGCAUACUGUUAUUGUGUGAAUUCUAGUGGGGUUAUCUCCUCGUAUCAUCAGUUAUUUUGAAAAAAAACCACAUGUACAAUGUAUGUUAUUGUACAAAGAAACAACGGCUGUAAUAAUGCUAUUCAGUUAUCACAGAAAUUGUGGUUGGUUAAAAGCAAAUCAAGUUAAAUAAUUUCAAAUUUAGCGCUGUUAGUUUUGUUGUUUAUAUAUAGUUUAAUUUCAACAUUUGCCCCAUUUCUAGUGAAACAUUGUGGGCACACUGAUUACUUUUUUGUUGUAUUUUUAUGAUAAUUUCUCUUGAAUUAUUUUUAAGCAAUUGAUUUAAUAUUUUCACAAUUUUUAGAUUACCGUAGCAAUUUGUCAAUGAUACUUUUUUAUUAAAUAGUUAUUAUUCCUUCAAUUUCAGGUAACUAAAAAGAUGUUUACAAACAAGUUAGGAUCAAGCCAAAAAUAACAACAUGCAUG
rnacentral:lncRNA from 1 species